UUUUUUUUUUUUUUUUUUUGGCACAGGUGGACCAAGGGGGGGGGGGGUGUGACUGUGGGCACCGUGCGCGGAGGCGGGGGCUCAUCUGGUUCCCGCCCUCCGUGCCGCUGGAUGCCCCAGGAUUUUCUCCAACCGGGGUCCCGGCUUGGAGCCCUCCUUGGCUGCGAGCUUCGGCGCAGCCAUGGGGAAAGCGGGAAUGGGUCUCGCCCUUGUGGCUGCCUGGUGGAAGCGGCGGUUUUGACACACGAACAGUCGUGGGGAGCAGAUCCAGAGAGGGUGCAUUUGCAAUAAUAACGCUUAGUUUAUCUCUGCCAGAGGGGCGGGAACAGGCCUUCGCGCUGGUGUCUUACAUCAGCCAAGCAAACCAUGGGCGCGAUCGGAGCUAACCACCUCCAGCGGGGUUUUGCUCCAGACUUAAGGUGCGCGGAAACCGGAGCACUCAGCCCUUCGCGGGUGCCUCCCGAAAACCUCGCCAUGCCAGUGACACGACUGCGAACGGCGGGUGGCACAUGCCGGGGGCUUGGGAUGGGAGGGUUUGGAAACCUCGCUCCAAGGACGCCCUCAUCCAAGGAGCUUCGGCUCCUUCCUAGAAUUUCUAGAAGCACUUUUGGAGGGACCGAGGGCUUCCGGCCGGGCCCAGAGGAAUUUGAGCGCUUGCCCGGGCAGGCAGAAGCGCAGCCUGGGAGUGGAGAGGCUGCUGGGCCACAUUCCGGCCGAGCUUCCCCCGCUAGGCCCCAGCCCCGCCGCGGCGCCCCAGGAAGCACCUCCGAAAACAAAGCGCUGUGGUUUCAGCCCAAGGUUAAAGUCCACCGCGAGCGUGUUUUUUCCCCCCUCCGGAAUCUUAAGAGCGAUAGCGUUUCUCCAAAUAAACCGCCAAUAAAUCAGCUCCCGGGGGCGCCUGCUGAAGAGCUCUGGUGACCUUGGAGGAUGGUUUUUCUGCCUGA
rnacentral:lncRNA from 1 species